GGGGGUGUCAAGGUUUCGACGAAGGUGAAUGAGAUACAGGUUGCAUGCCGAGGUCUCCGCAGGCCUCGUUAAAUAGGCGGAACAUUUAUAAAUGCUGAUGAAGAAUUAGCAUUAGCUGCUUAAUAACGCGGCUACGCUUGACUGACUUGUUGCCCGUCAGGAAGGUUAAAGCGUCGCAAUACGGGCUAGCCGCUCGCUUGUUCUCAAAGGGCGAGCCGCGAACCAUCUUUUGAGAUAGUCUAUUCUGAAUCCCGCAUGGGGGAGUCUGGUAGGCGAACCUAAAAACCUGUGAUAAGCAUGUAGUAGCCUCUAUUGAAAUGCCUUCGGACGCGGGUUCGAUUCCCGCCACCUCCAUUU
rnacentral:tmRNA from 1 species